UGAUAUUUCAGUGCACUCCACAACACAAGAUUUGACUUACAUUUAUUGUGCAUUCUGUAUUCAAAAAAAGAUUAAUAAACAUGAUUACACAUUUUCCCUUAACUUUUUCUCUUUAGGUACCUAAUCUGUUUGGAAUCUCAAUGAUUUUUUAAAAAUAGAAUAUCUUAUUAAAAUAUCUGAAAGCUAUAUACAGGUGCUAUAAAAUCCUUAAAAUUGCAGAAAAAUGAGCAGUAUUGACCAAAGAAAACAUCAGUGAUAUUUCUUUUAUUAUUUUCCUAUGAUUAACUCUUUAUAAAUUUUGUCAUGCCUUUUUUGCACAAAAUUAUCUUGAUAAUUUUCUCUUUAAAAGGAAACAUUACUAAGUGGAAAUUAAAUGCUAGGUAGG
rnacentral:lncRNA from 1 species